rnacentral:rRNA from 1 species
AUGGAAGAAGACCUAGUGAUCUCAGCGUUAGGUGGAUCGCUAUGUUUUGAGUGGAGUGGGUUGCUUAGCGGGUCCAGGCCGGUUUUGCGUUUGGGCUUAAAAAAGGCAGAAACAGAUAACGUAAUUUUCUUCAGUAUGUUUGGUUGUUUGCCUGUUGGGCUCGUUUCGACUGACCUUAAUUCUGGUUCAGUCAGUUUUCAUCUGUUUCCUUUUGCAUCAUUUUGUACCAAUCGACUGACCACUUUUCUGGGUCAGUCGAUUGAUCUGUAG